rnacentral:rRNA from 1 species
UACGGAGGAUGCAAGCGUUAUCCGGAUUUAUUGGGUUUAAAGGGUGCGCAGGUUGUUUGAUAAGUCAGUGGUGAAAGUCUGUCGCUUAACGGUAGGAUUGCCAUUGAUACUGCUGGACUUGAAUAUGGAUGAGGUAGGCGGAAUGUGUAGUGUAGCGGUGAAAUGCAUAGAUAUUACACAGAACACCGAUUGCGAAGGCAGCUUACUAAUCCAUCAUUGACGCUGAGGCACGAAAGCGUGGGAUCAAA